ACAGACAGACAGACAGACAGACAGACAGAAGAGAAAGAUCCAACAUUAGCCCAGCCCUAAGUUACUCAGCUGCUUCUUUGUCUGCAAACUCUGGGGUGAGCGAUGCCACUUCAGCCGUAUGUUUUGUUCAAGCACAAACCAAAUUAUGCUAUGCUUGCGUCUAUCUGAACAUAUUGGUUUAUCUUACAUAGAGUUUAAUUGAUGCAAACUUGAACUUCAGUAUGUUAGAUUUUCAGGGAAAACACCAUCCUGCAAUUUAGAUUGCUAUGUUUUUCUUUGAACAAAGAAAAAAAAAAAAAGAGCAAGGCAAUUAGAACCCUGCUUCCUUUAUUUCGGCCGCACUCUCCAACCACUACAAAAAUCAUGUUUAACCUCUUGUAGAGUGACUUCUCCUGUCCUUUCCUGUCCAAUGGCAAAAUUUCUCUCUGAGCCAACAACAUCUGCAUCUUUAGACAGAUGUACUUGUGUGCAAAGUCCGUGUGAGCUGAUCAAGCACGGCUUUGUUUGCACUUAUUCACUGCUCACCCAGCACUGUGUAAGUGGUUUUGCAUAUUAACUAAGUGCACAGUAACCUUUCUUUACCUCCUUAGAGCUCCACCCCCUCCCACCCGCCGGGGAAAUCAACACUGUUACUCGCUGAGGAAGCUGCCAAGAGGUUGCCAUGGCAACUGUUCAGCUUUCAGCAGCUACUUUUCUGGUUUGAAGGGGAUGGGGAGAGGAGGAGAAAGAAAGCACCACACACCCAACAAACUGAGGAGAACUAGGCAGUUUUCUGAUCAGAGUUCAGAUAAGGAAGGUCAGAGUCAUUUGUGGGCACUGACUAAAAUAACCCCACGGAUGGGAGAGUUACCACAUAAGAAGCAAACUAAAAAGAACUGCAGCGCUGAGCAUCUGUGGAGACUUCUGCAGACUAUAUUUCAGGCGUUCGAGAGUGCGCGCUGCAUCAAAAUCCAACCAAUAGCAAUGGGGAGCCUUGCCCUCCCUAGCCUCGAUUUGUUUCCCCUACCUGAAGCCAGGGUGUGCUGCAGCUGCGAGGUGACCGCCCAGCGCCCUCCAGGCCCCUCCUGCUCUGCUCCAACCGCAAAAGCGUGAAGGCAAGCUUCAAAUGGUUUAAAGGAGACCCUUGCCAAAAUCAAGGCUGACUUCUGGCCACCCUCACAUGUUCGUUUCACUGACAGGUGACCUCCAAGGGAAGGCGUGUCUGUAAAGGAGGGCUUGGUUUGGGAGGUUUUUAAUUCAAACUGCAGCCCCCGUGCAACGCGGGAACCGUCCUAAGAAGUAAGAAAUAAGAAGGAACUAUACAGAGAUCCUGGUCCUGGGCUGCUGGACCCUCAGUGGCAGAAAGAGAGCCUCUGAAUUCUGUAGCUGUAAUUAUCGUUCACAAAGUAAACCCAUUUCCGUGUGUAUAUUUGUAGAGGAUGAUUGGGAAAUAUGCACUGGAGAAAGAUCGCUAGUUCAAUCACAAAAAAUCAAUGGGUUAGAUACCAAGUGGAAAGGAAAGCGCUGAGUGGCACAUCACCUUUCUGUCCCUCAGUCCUUUCCCUCCAGAAAGAAAUACAGCUAUUGACAAUAGAUUCAGUGUGGGCUUUUUUGUUGGAGCAGCAGAAACUGAACUCUAGCUAGUUUCUUACUGAAAGCCUGUGAGGACAUUUACAGAAUAAAAGGAAGGCUGAAGAAACCUACUUACAGAGGACAGGCCAGCCUGUGUCGGGGUCUCUAUAGCAGACGCAGCAGCCAGCACCAUCAGUUACCAUUGCUAGGUGGACAAUUGGUAGGAGUUUCUCUUCUCAUCAUCCUCAAAUGGCCUGAGUCAACAGGGUAUCCCUUUGUCAAUGGGCACAUGCCUGUAAGGUUUUGAAAAGUGGAGUCCUCAAUUUGCUGAUUCACAGAGUCACCUGGCGGCUUCUAAAAGAACGGGGAGAAUGGAAGGUCUUUCUCCUCCAUUGACACGUUUAUGGCUGUGGAUCUGACUGCCAUAAUCUCGCCUGGGUUAAUGGUUAUUCAUUCCCUUUCAUUAGUUUUCAUUACUGUGGCUGGAACCCAGGGUCUCAUGGAUGCCAGGGAAGCACUCCACCUCUGAGCUACAUCCCCAACCCUCAUCUCCUUUCAAAAUUCAUCUUUGAGAGACAUGAAGACAGGACUUGAACUUGCAAACUUCCUGCCUCAGCCUCCUGAGUGGUUGGGAUUAUAGGCAUAUGCCACCAUACCAGGCUAACUCGGAUUUGCAACCUUCUUUGCCAGGGCUACCUUUUUGUGAAGGUCAAAUGAUGUUUGAAACAGAAGUGGUAUUGAAUUAUACCAGGACAAGAGGCAUGGGCUUUGGCAGUCCUUCCCAACUAAGGUGUGUGUGGCUCUGCUUUCCCUUUUCAUAACUGUGUUUUCUCAGAUCAGUUUAAGGAAAUCCAAAUGCUCCUUAAGGAAUGAAAAAGGCCACCUUCUUCUCUAUGUCCCCAACAUCUCUUUUGUGCUUGGCAUGGGACAUAACUUAUGGAUCAUUACAAUGCAAUUAUUAAACUCAUUUGAUUCUCUCCCAUCCCCAUUUUUCAGUGUAUCUGAGGGGUAUGCUAUCCCCAAUACUCACAGUGGGGGUCAUAGCUAACUCCUUUUUCUCUUUGCAUCAUAGAAAUGGAUAAAGAACUAAAUGAUCCCAAACAUUUCUAUUUAUGGAAAAUACUGUUACUUAAUGAGGAAAUGACAUUUUGGCGAACAGGAAGGUGAAAUAUUUAUGUAUUUUAAAAGAUUGGUAUCCGUUGAAAGGUCUUUAAACAACAACACUUAAAGCCAGGGUGGCCUUUACAGAAUGCCUAUUUUAUGAAACAUAGGUGGGCACUACAAUGUAGCAAUACUAGCCAGUAGCUCAUUUCAUGUGUUCUUGGAUUUUGUCUACCUACACGUCUCUAGCUGGUCUUUCAGAGAGGUACAACCUUCAGAUUUCAAGAACCACUGAGUUGCACUCUCACCUUCCAAGCCAGUGAGUCUCAAACCUUCCUAAUGUUGGGACCCUUUAAUAUAGUUCCUCAUGUUGUGAUAACCUCCAAUCAUAACAUUAUUUUGUUGCUACUUCAUAACUAUAAUUUUGCUACUUUUAUGAAUAAUAAUGUAAAUAUCUGAUAUGUGACUCCCCAGGUUAAGAACCAUUGUUAAAGCUCACUGGUAAAAGAGAUCUGCCUUGGAUUGCAUUUUCUGGGGCCAGCUCUGCCCUGAGGAUUAGUCACAAGGAUUUGUAAUGGGUCCGGUUCAGUGUCAGGGUAUGCUUUCAGAUGGUCACUCCAACAAUGUCUUCCUUCAAGAGCACUGUGUCCAGGAAUCCCUGAAUUUCCCUGCACAGUUGCAGCUGAGAGUGAAGAUCAAAGAAGCUUCUUCGAUCAAGCAGAGCCACAAGCAUAUGCCUCUCAGACACAUUUGAAGACCAACGUAAGAGACUAAUGAGUUGUGCUUACUCCAGGCUCAUUCCUCUUUUGUUUCCUGCUGGGCACUGUGGGCAUCGGGAACCCACGUCUAAUGAGCCAUAGAUGGAUGCACUGCAGCUCUGUGAUAAAGGUACAAGUGCAAACCAAGGCCCCUAGGACAAAUAACACCUGCAUCAGAAAAGCAGGUCAUCCCAUAAUGUGGGAUGUUGUCACGGUUCCCUACCUUCUCCGCACUAUUUUCCUUUGGUGGAAACGCUUUUCCUAUCAGUCAUUCUAAAGCACCGUCCCCUCAUCCCCUUCAUCCAAGGACAUUAUGGCCCCCCUUGUCAUGCGAUGUUGGUUGUCCCAUUCAGAACUCACGAAGUGGAAAGCAAAGCACAGGAUGUUACUGAGAUAUAGUUCUAUCUUUUAAGGUUCUACAAGGACCAAUAGUUCUAUUAAAGCAAUGAUAUGGAAAAUUGUGUUCAUAAAAGGAAAAUGAGUCAUAUUUACAUUAUGCUGACUAAUAUUUUUAAUUUAAAUAGGAUUUACUUUAGAAUAGAAACUACUUGACAUUCAGAUUAUUAACUCGAGAGGGAAAAAAUGCAUGAACUGUGGCAUAUUGACAGGAGACUAAUUUCCUGUAAGGGGGAAGAGUAGCUUGGAAUGAUCUAGAAAGCAUGGGAGGGAAAUGGCCAACUCGACUGUAAUGCAAAGCGAAAGAACAUAUGUGAAGCGGAGAGCGAUGUGUUCUUGACUAACUCAGCAGAACAACUCUCAAGCAGGACAGUGAAAUUUUAGUGACAUGACGUGUGUUAGUGCCAAGUGAACAUUAGCGUCUACAAAACACACUUGUUUUUCUUGUUUGAAAUGAUCCAAUAUGUAGACAUUUUGUGCGUUUUUUUGUGACAGCAGCUUUUUCCAUAUACUCUGAGUGUAGAUGCACUUCUCUGAGCCCAAGGGUCUGAGUUAAGGUGAAACCUGAGUGCAAUCCAGAUAUUUCCAUGAGCAGAGUUGGAAAUUCGUAGUUCAGUAUCCUUCUCUUGCCUAUUGAUGCUUUCCUUAGUGCCAGGAGGCCACUAAGGCAUUGCUUUCUCAGUCCUCGAUUGUCUGGGUGAUUGUUUUCUAGUGUCCAUGUUUCCAGGAUAGACACUGGCCUGACUGAUAUUAAUAACACUUUAAAAUCCUCACAUCUGCCGAGUGACAUGAAAGGAAAAGAAAAAGCUGCAUCUCCAUUGGUUGUGUUUGUUAUAGAGUUCACAGUUUCAAAAUAUGAUACAAAAUUUAAAAGUUACUCAGAUAUUCCAUCAUAUACACAUCAUCAAUUAGAGAUGGAUUAUUUGCUCAUAUUUAACUUUUUUUCCACUUAAUUUCAUACAUCUGCUAAGUCACCAAGGUUCACAAAAGAUAUAGCUUAUUUUCAAAUUGUUUUUGACUUAAUUCAAGACUGAAAAAAUAGUCUCUCUUUCUCAGGCUUAAACUCUGUAAGGACGAGAUCUAUGUACUGUCUAUUUAUAAUAAAUAUUGAAACUUUACUCCAUUGCUUACAGUGCAGUGGGAUUCACUCAAUGAUAUCAGCUACAUUCGGUGCCAGCCCUUCAAAAGGAAUCUCUUCCAUCUCCCUAGAAAGAUCUCUAUAGGAAAACUUGUUUGCGAAAUGACUGAAGCUCCCUUAACAAAUAAAACACAACAGUGUUUGUUGCUCUUUUUCUCUGAAGUGAUGACAAAUUGCCGAGGAGUGAAAGCCUU